AGCAGCCCCACCUGCCCGUGGCGCCACUUUGCUAUCCUGCACAGGCUCAGUGGCCGAUGCUGUGCACAUCCACUUAGCCGUGCUCUGAAUAGCUACCUUCUGCAAAUGAACUGUCCUUAUCCAGACAAAAAGGGCUAUGCUCCUUCUUUGUUUCCAUACACAGGACUUCCUCUGCUGUUCCUCAUCCUCUGCACUCCCAGGACUAUGCACUGUCCAGCAGAUGUGGUAUCUGAGCCUAACUGUUGAUACAUAGGGAUGAGUGAAAGGAGAAUCUGGGGAGAGCGACCCCUUCACCUUCUCCAUCUUGGAGUUCUGGAAAUGUCGAUGCCAUCUUUAUGCCUGGGGAAGAGAGAACGCAGCAUGGUUGGAACAACCAAGGUCUACAUCAAUCCUUGAGUCAGCGAGAACCCCUAGCCUCGAGUUUAGAAGAUUCUUACUUUCCAGAAGUCCCCUCAAAGAAGUCUGCAGAUAAAUUAAAUUUGAAGAAUUAGAUCAGGGCAAUGUUCCUCUUGUUUAGAUUCUUGAACACUAUGUAGAUUCUGAAACUGCUAUGUCACUAAAAAGACAACCGCAUGAAAGGCGAAGUCCCCAGAGGCUACUUCCCAUCAGUUUCAUCACAAGCAUUGCAGAAGAUUGCUAUUAUGCUCACGCGGUGCCUGCCUUUUCCCAGACUGCCACCAUGCUGUGGCUGCACUGCCCGGCCCUCCAUAGCCCGGGGAGAAAGAUGCAUGGUACUUCUCUCUCUCUCGUGCCACGGUGCUGUUUCUCUAUCCCUGAUCUACUCUCCUCAAGCAGCGGCUUCUGUGAUAUUCCUACAAUGGCCUACAGAUGACGAGUUGUUACCAAGAACUCUACAGAGACAGGGGAACAC